UGUCCUCUUCUUGAAUCAAAGAUGUAAUGCCAAAAUUCUGACUCUAUGCGGGAGAUCAUUUUGUUUUCAUGAGAAGAAAGCAAAACAUUUUCCUCUUCUUUCUGUAGGAGAAGCCAUAUUUAUAUAAGUCAUGAUUUUAAAAGACUUAUGGUUUCCAAACCCAAGCAGGCACUAUCUCUCUAUUUUUUACCUGAACAAUCUUCUGACAUGCCAAGAAAUUGACUGCACUGGGCUGCAGCUCUUGUCUUCAGGCCAGCAGAAAAACAUUAACACUUUCCUGCUUGUCAUACAAGGAUCACACUAACUCAUAGAACUGACUUCUAGUGCUGAUGGCAACUUGAGCCACAACAUUCAAGGAGUUCAAGGAAGAAUUUAUAGGUAAGAUGAAAAGAGCUGUUUCCUCUUUUCAAUAUGCUGGCCAAAGGGCAAAGGCAGUGCCCUCUACUCAUCUCAGGCUCAGUUGAACAAGUCACAAAGAAGAGUUUCAGACACACUCUACUUUUGCCCCUCAUUUAGGCAUACGACUUUUAUAUGACUUUUUCCCCA
rnacentral:lncRNA from 1 species